rnacentral:rRNA from 1 species
UACGUAGGGCGCAAGCGUUGUCCGGAAUUAUUGGGCGUAAAGAGCUCGUAGGCGGCCAGUUGCAUCCGCUGUGAAAUCCCGGGGCUUAACCCCGGGCGUGCAGUGGAUACGGGCUGGCUAGAGGCAGGCAGGGGAGAACGGAAUUCCCGGUGUAGCGGUGAAAUGCGCAGAUAUCGGGAGGAACACCGAUGGCGAAGGCAGGUCUCUGGGCCACUACUGACGCUGAGAAGCGAAAGCAUGGGGAGCGAACAGG